UUGACCUCGGAUCAGGUAGGAAUACCCGCUGAACUUAAGCAUAUCAAUAAGCGGAGAAG
rnacentral:rRNA from 1 species